rnacentral:rRNA from 1 species
GACGAACGCUGGCGGCGUGCCUAAUACAUGCAAGUAGAACGCUGAAGGAGGAGCUUGCUCUUCUGGAUGAGUUGCGAACGGGUGAGUAACGCGUAGGUAACCUGCCUCGUAGCGGGGGAUAACUAUUGGAAACGAUAGCUAAUACCGCAUAACAGUAGAUGUUGCAUGACAUUUACUUAAAAGGUGCAAUUGCAUCACUACCAGAUGGUCCUGCGGUGUAUUAGCUAGUUGGUGGGGUAACGGCUCAACACGGCGACGAAUCUUAGGCGGCCUGGGGAGGGGAUCCGCCACAACGGGAAUGAGAAAAGGGCCAGAAUCCUACGGGAAGGAGCAGUAGGGGAACCUCGGGAAUGGAGGGAAGUCUGGCCGGAGAAAGCCGGGUGGGGGAAGAAGGGUUUCGGAUCGUAAAGCUCUGUUGUAUGGGGAGAAAGAGUGGGAGAGGGGAAAGUUCACGCUGUGACGGUAUCUUAUCAGAAAGCGACGGCUAACUACGUG